rnacentral:rRNA from 1 species
GUGGUUCAUGACUGGGGUGAAGUCGUAACAAGGUAGCCGUAGGGGAACCUGCGGCUGGAUCACCUCCUUAAACGACA